GUGGGGAAUAUUGGGCAAUGGGCGAAAGCCUGACCCAGCAACGCCGCGUGAAGGAAGAAGGUUUUCGGAUUGUAAACUUCUGUCCCCAGGGAAGAAGAAAGUGACGGUACCUGAGGAGGAAGCCCCGGCUAACUACGUGCCAGCAGCCGCGGUAAUACGUAGGGGGCGAGCGUUGUCCGGAAUGACUGGGCGUAAAGGGCGCGUAGACGGCUGUCUAAGUCUGGAGUGAAAGUCCUGCUUUCAAGGUGGGAAUUGCUUUGGAGACUGGAUGGCUUGAGUGCGGAAGAGGUAAGUGGAAUUCCCAGUGUAGCGGUGAAAUGCGUAGAGAUUGGGAGGAACACCAGUGGCGAAGGCGACUUACUGGGCCGUAACUGACGUUGAUGCGCGAAAGCGUGGGGAGCGAACAGGAUUAGAAACCCGGGUAGUCC
rnacentral:rRNA from 1 species